CUCUGAGAGCUACACUCUCUGAAACACUGGUGUUCCAAUCUCACCUUCAGCAGGCUCCUAUACAGGGGGGAGGGAGGAACGAUGGAUAGGUUGAGAGCGAGAGACAGGAACGUUGGUUAGGUUUUACACAGGAGAGAGAGGAACGUUGGUUAGUUUUUACACAGGAGAGAGAGGAACGUUGGUUAGGUUUUACACAGGAGGGAGAGGAAGAGGAACGUUGGUUAGGUUUUACACAGGAGAGAGAGGAAGAGGAACGUUGGUUAGGUUUUACACAGGAGGGAGAAGAGGAACGUUGGUUAGGUUUUACACAGGAGGAGAGGAACGUGGUUAGGUUUUACACAGGGGAGAGGAACGUGGUUGGUUCACAGGAGAGAGAGGAACGUUGGUUAGGUUUACACAGGAGAGAGAGGAAGAGGAACGUUGGUUAG
rnacentral:lncRNA from 1 species